GGCAGUGUGGCGUAGUAGUUUGAGUAUAGGACUAUGACUCUGGAGACCAGGGUUCAAUUCCCAACUCAGCCA